GGUGUGAGGUGCUGGCUUCCCUACGUCCCCCAAUGAAGUAGAACAACUUUGACAAGGUCAUUGGUCAUCGGACUGCACAGUGAAUUUCAUGUCUGAAUGUGGAUUUGAACCUGGUUUUUAACACAUACUGUAUAUACUAGUGCAUAUGUCAAAGUCAUGUAUAUGACAAGGAUACAUUUGGUAGCCAAAAUGAUGGAUUUUGAUAUGACCUAUGGAUAAGUCAAUAGUCAUUCUAUGGAGAGGAAAAGGUACCUGUGCCACCUUAGCAAACCAGCCACUCUUGGCUACUGCUACCAUAAUUUUCCUGACCAGGUGUUCAAAAAUGCCUUUCAUCGCUCUAUUCAGAGAAGAAGAUAAUUCCUUUUUUGAUAACCAAGAUUUCUCAAAAAUCUAAUCACUACACUGACUGCACAUGCAUUAUAGGACUUGAAUUUUCCACUCAAUUCCUAAAGCCAUUUGUGUGUUCAUGCAAACCUGUUGUUUCCAUCUAGGAUUUCUUCUUUUUUCAUGGCAGAAUUAUAAAUCAAAAUGAUGGAAUUAUAAACCAAUUUUCUAAAGUCAACUGAUUUUUCUGAACUCUAAGGUGAAGGUGUCCUGUAGGUGAGUGAACUUAUGAAUGAGACACUCCCUUUGUAAAUGUGUGCCUUUAAAAGAUGAUUGAUUCAUAUUUGUCAUGAGUUUAUUUAAAAUCAGUGUCAUCCACAUUAAUAUGUAUUAUAGCAAAUGAAACCCAUCUUUUUAGGUUUUAUCAUAAGAAAAUAUUUUUUGAUUUUUCGACAAAACUUUUCCACUCAUCAAGUAGGAUUAACAACAGUUUUUUCUGGAAGUAGGUUUCUCAAACUAGGAAAAAUCGUAAAAAAUCAAAGAGGAUUAAAAAUAUACCAUAACGCUAAAUCCUAACUGUAUUAUGGUCUGGAUUUUAAAGAAGCAAAAGAGGCAAAGUGGAAUCAUAUUUUCAAAGCAAGAUGUAUUAAAAAGAAAGAAAGAAAAAUAAAUUGUUUCUGCAAAUAUCUUUCUUGCAGAAAAAGGUACCAUAUUCCAUUCUACAGGAGCAGACAGAAUUUGGGAUCACCACACAAUAGAAAUUACUCUGUAAUGCUAGGUUGUCUUCCCAUUUUUGAGAAUUAUGCUGACAAGUAGUUGAGAAAUCAAC
rnacentral:lncRNA from 1 species